CGGACCGGUGCCAGAAACACUGCCUCAGCAUUUAUACGUAUGUGCAUUUCAAACGAGGGUGCGUCCAAUGCUGGAUUUGUUUCACGGCUCCUGUUGGAAAAAAAGGACCUAUUCCUAAAGUCCGUCAUCCACUCACUGAAGAGGGCAAAUCCCAGUUGCCCACAUGCAAGGAGGCUGUCAAACAGAGAAAUCACUGCAGACUGUUGGUACACAGACAUCUGCUGCCCAGCUCAGGAGUGAAGGUGAUGGUGAGGACAGCCACAGCUUCCAUCUGGUAGAGGACUGCUUCCGCUCAGUCUUCCAAAUAGUGAUGAGAACAAGGAUCACCACAUCUCCCUGUUUACCCUACUUUCAUGCAUUUCGUCUGCAAGGCCCUGCAAAAGCUUCUCCUUCGUCCUCAAACCCCCAGACUUCUUAAUUAACUCAGUAACCUAUACAUUGCACAUUGGAGUGUGAAGGUAACAGUUUGUUCUAGCUUUGGAGUAGUGGUGUAUUUUUUUGGUUUACAAUAAAGUUGGCUUUAACUAUUA